GCAACUUCAUUCAUGACACCUUUGAACCAUUCAAAGGAGCCCUGUUCCCUAGUAACCCAGUAGAAGUAAGCUCGGCUUGGCCCAUUGCUCUUAAAGGUGCCGCCUGACUCCUCGUCCUGCAUGCUUUGCAUCUCCUGUUGAAUCCAACUCAUUCUAUUAAUCCUACAUUUGUACUCAUGUAUGAGAAAGAAUUUCCAGUAACAGCUGGAGAAGUUUACUUGACUGGACUUAAGGUUGUGCAGGAGAUCCUUCAGUAUGCUGAUGAACGGAGUUGCACCGAUUCCAAGCCCAAUAAGAAAAAGAAUGUCAUAUUUCUUGUAAUUUUGAGCAGGUGCACCGAAAGGGCCAUCUAUGAAGAUCUUGGGAAACCUAGAUGAACAAAGCCAAGUCACCAAGGUGCAGAAGUGAUGGAGAAGGGAUGCCUGCAAAAAUUGAAGAAAUUCUGAAGCCAAAGCCUUUGAAAAUUCAUGAGCUGGAAAAUGAAGAUGAUGAGAAAGUACCAUUCAAAAGGCGACACAUCUGGGCAUUUUACAAAGAGGACACAUUUUGGAUCAUUAAUGAGCAGUUCUCCUGUGGCACUUGCAAUCUAGAAUGUGUACUGAAGAAAACACCUUAUGCGUGGUAUUCAUGUAUAAUCUAUAGCUUACCUUGAUGACACUCACUCCGUAAUUCUUUUCGC